GGGGAAUAUUGGUCAAUGGACGUAAGUCUGAACCAGCCAAGUCGCGUGAGGGAAGACUGCCCUAUGGGUUGUAAACCUCUUUUAUAAGGGAAGAAUAAGUUCUACGUGUAGAAUGAUGCCUGUACCUUAUGAAUAAGCAUCGGCUAACUCCGUGCCAGCAGCCGCGGUAAUACGGAGGAUGCGAGCGUUAUCCGGAUUUAUUGGGUUUAAAGGGUGCGUAGGCGGUUUAUUAAGUUAGUGGUUAAAUAUUUGAGCUAAACUCAAUUGUGCCAUUAAUACUGGUAAACUGGAGUACAGACGAGGUAGGCGGAAUAAGUUAAGUAGCGGUGAAAUGCAUAGAUAUAACUUAGAACUCCGAUAGCGAAGGCAGCUUACCAGACUGUAACUGACGCUGAUGCACGAGAGCGUGGGUAGCGAACAGGAUUAGAUACCCUGGUAGUCCACGCCGUAAACGAUGCUCACUGGUUCUGUGCGAUAUAUUGUACGGGAUUAAGCGAAAGUAUUAAGUGAGCCACCUGGGGAGUACGUCGGCAACGAUGAAACUCAAAGGAAUUGACGGGGGCCCGCACAAGCGGAGGAACAUGUGGUUUAAUUCGAUGAUACGCGAGGAACCUUACCUGGGUUUAAAUGGGAAAUGUCGUAUUUGGAAACAGAUAUUCUCUUCGGAGCGUUUUUCAAGGUGCUGCAUGGUUGUCGUCAGCUCGUGCCGUGAGGUGUCGGGUUAAGUCCCAUAACGAGCGCAACCCUUACCGUUAGUUGCUAGCAUGUAAUGAUGAGCACUCUAACGGGACUGCCACCGUAAGGUGAGAGGAAGGCGGGGAUGACGUCAAAUCAGCACGGCCCUUACACCCAGGGCUACACACGUGUUACAAUGGCCGGUACAGAGGGCCGCUACCAGGUGACUGGAUGCCAAUCUCAAAAGCCGGUCGUAGUUCGGAUUGGAGUCUGUAACCCGACUCCAUGAAGUUGGAUUCGCUAGUAAUCGCGCAUCAGCCAUGGCGCGGUGAAUACGUUCCCG
rnacentral:rRNA from 1 species